rnacentral:rRNA from 1 species
UACGAAGGGUGCAAACGUUGCUCGGAAUUACUGGGCGUAAAGCGUGCGCAGGCGGUUUUGUAAGCCAGGUGUGAAAUCCCCGGGCUCAACCUGGGAAUGGCAUUUGGGACUGCAAGGCUGGAGUGCGGCAGAGGAGACUGGAAUUCCUGGUGUAGCAGUGAAAUGCGUAGAUAUCAGGAGGAACACCGAUGGCGAAGGCAGGUCUCUGGGCUGACACUGACGCUCAUGCACGAAAGCGUGGGGAGCAAACAGG